AGUGGCGCACGGGUGAGUAACACGUGGGUAAUCUGCCCUUGAGUUUGGGAUAACCCCGCGAAAGCGGAGCUAAUACCGAAUAAGACCACGGGGACCAAAGUCCCUGGGGUAAAAGGUGGCCUCUAUUUAUAAGCUACCACUUAAGGAUGAGCCCGCGGCCCAUUAGCUAGUUGGCAGGGUAAUGGCCUACCAAGGCAAUGAUGGGUAGCUGGUCUGAGAGGACGAUCAGCCACACUGGAACUGAGACACGGUCCAGACUCCUACGGGAGGCAGCAGUGGGGAAUAUUGCGCAAUGGGCGAAAGCCUGACGCAGCAACGCCGCGUGGGGGAUGAAGGUUUUCGGAUUGUAAACCCCUUUCGACCGGAACGAAUCUCCUCUUGGUAAAUAAUCAGGAGGAUCGACGGUACCGGGAGAAGAAGCCACGGCUAACUCUGUGCCAGCAGCCGCGGUAAGACAGAGGUGGCAAGCGUUGUUCGGAUUUAUUGGGCGUAAAGCGAACGCAGGCGGUUUGGUAAGUCAGGGGUGAAAGACCACAGCUUAACUGUGGUAUUGCCUUUGAUACUGCCUUUCUUGAGUAGAGUAGGGGGAAGCGGAAUUCCGAGUGUAGAGGUGAAAUUCGUAGAUAU
rnacentral:rRNA from 1 species